UAGGGCGUGUUUAGAAACAGUUUGUCAAACAAUGAAGAGUCAGAUUAUGUACAGAGCAUUGAAAGGAUGUAUGUAUUUUCCACUUCUAUAACCAAAUUAACUUUAAUUGUCUUGUAUGUGACUUCUUUAUUAUCUGUGUAGUGUCUGAUACUCUGAUUGUAUUUUAUUACUGAAUUUGAGUUGUCUUCGAACAUUUUGUUAUGCUAAAAAUAUAUACUUACACUGUUAAAGGUCAUCUGACUUGUCUAAUGUCUAGCCCAUACCUUUUCAAAUGCCAGAACUCCCUGUUCAAAUGCCAAAACGGAGUAUUCAAAUGCCAGAUCUACCUUUUCAAAAGCCAUAACUCCGUUUUCAAAUGCCAUAACUCUGUUUUCAAAUGCCAUAACUCUGUUUUCAAAUGCCAUAACUCCCUUUCCAAAUGCCAAAACUCCCUUUCCAAAUGCCAAAACUCAGUUUUCAAAUGCCAGAACUCCUUUUUCAAACGUCAGAACUCCGGUAUCAAAUGCUAUUUGCAUGCGUUGCAACCAGUAUUCUUAUACUUUCCUGCCCAACAUCGUCUCUGUAUAUUUUUCAGGGCUGUCUCAUGUACGACAUUUAUCAACUGUACGAGAGCACCUCUCGAGUCUAGUUCAAUCGACGGUGGCCGGCGAUGAUGACGUCACGAGGCAGGGCUUGACGCGGGAAAAAUGGUCCGAGCUAUAUCAAGAUGGCAAGGUA
rnacentral:lncRNA from 1 species